CCAAGGAGUCGUCUUCGUAUGCGAGUGUUCGGGAUAAUGUCAAACCCCUACGCGUAAUGAAAGUGAACGCUCGUCUAGCGCGAACUGAGGUGAGAGCUUCGGCGCAUCAUCGACCGAUCCUGAUUCCCGGGGCGUCUCGUUCUCAUUGCGGGAUGGAUUUGAGUAAGAGCAUACGGGGCCGGACCCGAAAGAAGGUGAACUAUGCCUGUAUAGGGUGAAGCCAGAGGAAACUCUGGUGGAGGCUCGCAGCGGUUCUGACGUGCAAAUCGAUCGUCAAAUAUGGGCAUGGGGGCGAAAGACUAAUCGAACCUUC
rnacentral:rRNA from 1 species